rnacentral:rRNA from 1 species
AUUGAACGCUGGCGGAAUGCUUUACACAUGCAAGUCGAACGGCAGCACGGGGCAACCUGGUGGCGAGUGGCGAACGGGUGAGUAAUACAUCGGAACGUGCCCAAUCGUGGGGGAUAACGUAGCGAAAGUUACGCUAAUACCGCAUACGAUCUACGGAUGAAAGCGGGGGAUCGCAAGACCUCGCGCGAAUGGAGCGGCCGAUGUCAGAUUAGGUAGUUGGUGGGGUAAAGGCUCACCAAGCCAACGAUCUGUAGCUGGUCUGAGAGGACGACCAGCCACACUGGAACUGAGACACGGUCCAGACUCCUACGGGAGGCAGCAGUGGGGAAUUUUGGACAAUGGGCGCAAGCCUGAUCCAGCAAUGCCGCGUGCAGGAUGAAGGCCUUCGGGUUGUAAACUGCUUUUGUACGGAACGAAAAGCUUCGGGCUAAUACCCUGAAGUCAUGACGGUACCGUAAGAAUAAGCACCGGCUAACUACGUG